rnacentral:rRNA from 1 species
GAUGAACGCUGGCGGCGUGCCUAAUACAUGCAAGUCGAGCGAAGCGGGGACGGGUGAGUAACACGUGGAUAACCUCCUAUAAGACUGGGGUAACCUCGGGAAACCGGAGCUAAAACGGAUACGUACAGAUGGCUCUGCGCUGCAUUCGCUAGUUGGUAAGGUAACGGCUUACGAAGGCACCGCUCACUAGCCGACCUGAGGGGGUGAGCGGCCACACUGGAACUGAGACACGGUCCAGACUCCUACGGGAGGCAGCAGUGGGGAAUAUUCCGCAAUGGGAGAAAGCCUGACGGAGCAACGCCGCGUGAGUGAGGAAGGUUUUCGGAUCGUAAAAUUCUGUUGUUGGAGAAGCGGUAUCUACCCAGAAAGCCACGGCUAACUACGUGCCAGCAGCCGCGGUAAUUC